GAAAGGAAUUGUCUGUCAUUUGUUUUUUUAUCCUCCAUAUAGUGGCCAUUCAACCUACUUUUCUUAAAUGAAAUCAUGUUCUUUUCUUAACGGAACCACACAAAAUACAGUUGACUGCUGAGUGGCAAAUAAUGAAUAAUGCAAUGUCUUUCUUUAAAUAAACUUGUGUUUUUCAACAUUUGAAUUUUUAUAUAUUCAAGUAUAAGUAAUAUAUUUAUUUUUACUUUGAAAUUUUUAAACCAUCUAGAGUUAGAAAUAUUGGUUGGAACCUGGUCUUUAUUAAUGGUGGCCUAAAGUAAAAAGUAUGUAAACCCACAGAAGCAAUAGUUACCCAGUUAUUUGCCUAUUUGUCCUGUUUGUAUUUGUUGAAAAUAUCUCCUGAAUGAGGAAAGAUAAAAAGUGGGGCAAAAAUGUGAGAUUUGAUUUUGUUACUAAUUAGGAUAUCCCAAAUUAGUUUUAAAAAUUGAUAUUUAGGGGUUGAGGUGGCUCUGAAUUAUUUGCAUGUUUCUAAUAAAAGAUUAUUUUAAAAACAAAUUGUCCACAAGUGAAUGAAAUAUUGUUUAAGAGACUGGAUAAAAAAUAAUAUUUACAAGACUGGAAAAUAAUGAGGUAGGUCUUGAAUAGACCUGUCACUUUAUAAUUAUACUUAUGCAUAUUUUAAUUAAUUUUUCUUCUCACCAGCUAUGAUGAUAAUCUCAGUGUUAUUUUGAAUGCUGCUAUUUUUGUUACAUAAAUACAUUUUAUAUCAUUGUAUCAAAUAAAAUGAUGGACUAAGUGAAUAUUAUUCAAACAUUUUCCAAAGCUGGUGGUUUGUAAGUAUGCUUAAAAGUAUGUAAUUCGAGGAUUCUAUUUCAAUAGCACAUAUUUAAACUCAACAUAUUAAAGUUUUCUGAGAUAUUUUAAAGUUUAGUUUGGCCAAAAAACCUAUUAUCAUUUAGAUAAGAAAUCAGUUAAGAUUUUUAAAAGUAAAUUCUUUAAAAAAAACUGUCAUAUUAUUAUGUAAAAUAAAAAUAAAAGUUAUUUUAAAAAAUUCACCCGUGUAGUAUACAUUGCUAAACAUGACUCAGUACAAUACUGAAUUUCAGCUUAAAUUCAUUUUGAUGGUUUGAAGAUAGUACGAUGUUUUAAAAACCCAUGAUAUUUAGGAAUCGCUUGUUUCUUUAUAGAUGCAUUUUAAAUCUAUGGGUGAUUUCAGUAAGAUUUCAAAUUAAAAUACUUAAAUAAGAUCAUUACGAUCUUUAUAUUUUAUAUUCAGAUCUGCUAUGAGGCAAUAAUAAAUACUUUCUGUCCUAAGCACACUGAUACUCUAAAUUGCAGAUUUUAAAUGUCAUUCACUCUGAAAUAUUCAAUUGAAAGAGGAAUGUAAUUGACAUAUAAUAUGUAAAUAAGUUUUAUUUGGCUAUAGAAUACAUUAAUUCAUGCCUUUUUGAUUUAUCUUCAUUAUGCUUUCAAUAACAAAUGUUUAUUGCUUCUGCUUAAAGCAUUACUAAUUAUAAUGGGAACCCCAGAGGCAUAAGAUAUAGAGCUUAGUCUGCUGGGCAAAUUGUACAUGAAAAGAUAAACCCACGGAAGCCCAUGCUAAUUUGUGUCAAAUUAAUAAUGUGUCUUGCCAAAUUAAAUAAGUAUUGCAGAAUAUAGAAGGGUAUUUGGGUCAUUGGGGUCUGAGGGUAGUCAGUGAACUUCCCUUUCUUGGAUUAUACUUUCAUACAACCUUGUUUCAACAGAAACAAGGAGGAACAGGUUCCAAGCAGUAGAAGUCUGGGUAAAGUUGUAGAGUUAGGAAUUUGCCUGGAAUGCUUAGAAUGUGCCUGGAAUGUUAGCACAUACUAAGAGACAAACCUGGUAUGAGAGAGGAUAGAUGAUGUACUGUGGCACUAAGAGAUGAGGAUGAAGUGUCAGGCUAAAGUGUUUGUAUUAUGUAGCUCCUGACUGUCUUUAAGCUGUGAGUCACAAGUGCAAAAGAACCAGCUGUACCAGAUAAUCAGAGGGGUGAGCACUGUGAUGAUCUGGGUUGGGGAAAUAUGUUUCAAAAUGCCUUAUAAAAUAAGAAUUUAUGAUACAUAUUUUGAUUGGUGAAACUCAGAAUAUAUAAACUAUUAAUAAAAUUUUGUAUUUUCUGAAUGUGUUAUUGGAUUACUCAAGGGGCAAAGGGAGCAUAGGAAUAACACAUCAGCAAAAGUAGUUACCCUCAACAAUAUCUUGUGAAAUAGUAUGAUAUUUUUAAGAAAGGUAUCAAAUUAGUUACAAAUGGAAGAAUCAGAGCUAUGUCAUUUUUAAAACCUAAUAUAUUUGUUUUCAAUUGCAUAUAGGAAGGGGAUAUAGUUUCAGUGCUUGGGCCCUCUAAAAAAUGUAUCUAAUCAUAUGUAGAUGUAAUCUGUAUGAACAGGCACCCAGCCUACAGUGUGCUGGAUGACUAAGAAAAUCAAUUGACUUCCUGAAGAAAGGAAGAUAUUGUUGGCUGUCAAACAUUAUGCUGCACUCCCUGGGAAUCUUGUUAAACUGGAGAUUCUGAGUUUAGUUGCUCUGGAGUAGAGCCAGAGAUUCUACAUUUCUCAAAAGCUCUUAGGUGAUAUUCAUGAUGUAUAUCCUUGGACCACAUGUUGAGUAAUACAAUGAAAUUUUCAACAAGUUAGUCUCUUAAUGUAUUGUACAUUAAAAAAAAUCUUAUACCGUGUUGUUAUGUAUUGGGUUAUACUCAAAGUACUGUUCUAAGAUUCUAUCCAAUACUUUUAAAUAGUGAGGGAUUUAACGUCCUCUUACAUAUUUUUUUUUAUUGUACUUUAGGUUCUGGGGUACAUUUGCAGAUCAUGCAGGAUUGUUG